rnacentral:rRNA from 1 species
AUCUACCACCAUGCCACCAUGAACAAGCCCAAUGUCUGAUCUCAGAAGCUAAGCAGGGUUGGGCCUGGUUAGUACUUGGAUGGGAGACCACCUAGGAAGAUCAGGUGCUGUAGGCA